AACGAACGCUGGCGGCAGGCUUAACACAUGCAAGUCGAACGCUCGUAGCAAUACGGGAGUGGCGGACGGGUGAGUAACGCGUGGGAACGUGCCCUGAGGUACGGAAUAACUGAGGGAAACUUCAGCUAAUACCGUAUGAGCCCCGAGAGGGGGAAAGAUUUAUCGCCUUGGGAGCGGCCCGCGUCGGAUUAGCUAGUUGGUGGGGUAACGGCCUACCAAGGCUUCGAUCCGUAGCUGGUCUGAGAGGACGAUCAGCCACACUGGGACUGAGACACGGCCCAGACUCCUACGGGAGGCAGCAGUGGGGAAUCUUGCGCAAUGGGGGCAACCCUGACGCAGCCAUGCCGCGUGAACGAUGAAGGCCUUAGGGUUGUAAAGUUCUUUUACCCGUGACGAUGAUGACGGUAACGGGGGAAUAAGCUCCGGCUAACUUCGUGCCAGCAGCCGCGGUAAUGUCUGUACU
rnacentral:rRNA from 1 species